UGAAACAUGAAAAUUUGGGAUAUAUACAGAGUUACAUUGCAGUACAAUAACAUAAACUCCCUUUUGGCCAAGCAAUGGAAACUAACUGCCAUGUGACAAGGUGAAAUAACAUACCCUAAUGUGCAUCUGAAGCAAUUUAUGCUGUUAUAGGCUGUUAACCGGUGGCUUGUGAAGACAGAUGGAGGUCACCUGACACCUGAACAAAGAAAUGUGGUCAUUCAUGCCAUUGCAUCAAUGAAAGCAUGUCUGACGGAGGAAGAGUUUCUCAAUGUAUCUGCCAAGAAAUGCAGUGAGAUCGACACCUUUUUGUAUAGUCCCCAUGUAACAACUUAUCUGAAGACAAAUUGGUUUACUUAUGCGGAGCUGUGGGUAAACUUUGGCAGAACGUUCUAUCACUGUAGCAGUGAGACAAACAACAAGGCUGAAAGAUUCUUCCUUACGUUGAAAUACCAGUUUCUGCGAGGCCAGGCAAACUGAAGAGUCGACCAACUUCUGCUUUUGCUAUGUGGAGAUGUAGAAAAGUAUUACAGCUACAUGGAUGGCCUCAGCGAAGCAGGACGACUGACAUUAUCCAGCUCUGCUGCUCACCAGGCUGCUGCGCUGCUGUUUAAAAAUGGUGUGGGCAAAGAUUUGGACAUAGAAGCGGGGCAGUGCUUUGUGCCAUCACAGUCAACCAACACAGCCUACAAAGUUAACUCGUUACACUUCACGUGUGAAUGCACCAAAUUCCGGAUGGGAAACAUAUGCAAAUGUUGCAGGUCAGAGCGGACCACCAAUUAAACGGGUCUCGCUCCUCCCUCUAACUUCCACCUCGAGGAGGUCCCACAAC